rnacentral:rRNA from 1 species
CCAGGUGAAAGGAUGUAGGCAUGUAUCUUAGGCAAAUCCGGGGUACUCUAUGCUGAGAUCUGAUAGCAAGCUGUACUUGUACAGCGAAGUGGUUGAUGCCAUGCUUCCAGGAAAAGUCUCUAAGCUUCAGUUACACAGGAAUCGUACCCGAAACCGACACAGGUGGUCAGGUCGAGUAGACCAAGGCGCUUGAGAGAACUCUGCUGAAGGAACUAGGCAAAAUGGUACCGUAACUUCGGGAGAAGGUACGCUGUUGUUGGUGAUGGAACUCGCUUCCUGAGCUGACGACAGCCGCAGAAACCAGGCCGCUGCAACUGUUUAUUAAAAACAUAGCACUCUGCAAACACGAAAGUGGACGUAUAGGGUGUGAUGCCUGCCCGGUGCUGGAAGGUUAAUUGAUGGGGUUAGCGUAAGCGAAGCUCUUGAUCGAAGCCCCAGUAAACGGCGGCCGUAACUAUAACGGUCCUAAGGUAGCGAAAUUCCUUGUCGGGUAAGUUCCGACCUGCACGAAUGGCAUAAUGAUGGCGGCGCUGUCUCCAGCAGAGGCUCAGUGAAAUCGAAAUCGCUGUGAAGAUGCAGUGUACCCGCGGCUAGACGGAAAGACCCCGUGAACCUUUACUGCAGCUUGACACUGAACUUUGACCUUACUUGUGUAGGAUAGGUGGGAGGCUUUGAAGCUGGAACGCUAGUUCCAGUGGAGCCGUCCUUGAAAUACCACCCUGGUAAUGUUGAGGUUCUAACUCUGUCCCGUGAUCCGGGACGAGGACCGUGUCUGGUGGGUAGUUUGACUGGGGCGGUCUCCUCCUAAAGAGUAACGGAGGAGUACGAAGGUGCGCUCAGCGUGGUCGGAAAUCACGCGUAGAGUAUAAAGGCAAAAGCGCGCUUAACUGCGAGACCCACAAGUCGAGCAGGUACGAAAGUAGGUCUUAGUGAUCCGGUGGUUCUGUAUGGAAGGGCCAUCGCUCAACGGAUAAAAGGUACUCUGGGGAUAACAGGCUGAUACCGCCCAAGAGUUCAUAUCGACGGCGGUGUUUGGCACCUCGAUGUCGGCUCAUCUCAUCCUGGGGCUGAAGCAGGUCCCAAGGGUAUGGCUGUUCGCCAUUUAAAGAGGUACGCGAGCUGGGUUUAGAACGUCGUGAGACAGUUCGGUCCCUAUCUACCGUGGGCGCUGGAAAUUUGAGAGGAUCUGCUCCUAGUACGAGAGGACCAGAGUGGACGAACCUCUGGUGUACCGGUUGUGACGCCAGUCGCAUCGCCGGGUAGCUAUGUUCGGAAGGGAUAACCGCUGAAAGCAUCUAAGCGGGAAGCCUACCUCAAGAUAAGAUUUCCCUAGGACUUUAUGUCCUCUAAAGAGCCGUUCGAGACUAGGACGUUGAUAGGUUGGAUGUGGAAGCAUAGUGAUAUGUGAAGCUGACCAAUACUAAUUGCUCGUGAGGCUUGACUAU